GAAUGGGAUACCAACCACCCUCCCCGGGUCGGAGGUGGGAGCUGCGAAGCAUUGAGCAGACCUGAUCUAGGUGGCCUGAAUCUAGGGACCGGGCAAAGAAAUGGUGUGAAUAGAAAUCACACAUUUCCCACGCUUUCAGCCCCGGUGCUCUGCCCUCCACUCCAGUUCCAUGCACUCAGUCAGGUCCCCAGGCAGGAACAAGAGCUGGGGGUCCAGGGGUCCUUCCUUCUCACGGGAAACGUUUUUCUGGCCCGAGACUGGGCGGAGAGAGAGUCGGACAUUUUCCUCCUUCUCUCUCCAGACAGCUGGCGUGGCCACCUCGCAGGGCUGCUUCCAGGGACACGACACUCAGGCGGUCAGAGACUUUCAGGCCCGGCCUUCACUCCUUCCCAGGGCACUUGGACAAGAGUUCUAGCUCUUGGCUACGUCUGGCCCGCUCGUGAGUUCACACACCCAGCACACGCGAUCCCCGCAGGGAAACCGCGGGAAGCUGCGCGGAAUCGCAGGGGACUCGCCGGGGCUCCAAUUCCCAAGCCCCGAGGCCCCUGCGCCCAAAGAGGCAGGGCGGAGCAAAGGCAGCCGGCGUGGAGGCAGCGAGAGCCGGGCUGGCCCGGGCGCCGCCCUAGGGGAGGGACUGAGAGCUGCCCCGUGAGUCUAGGAGGCACAGCGGACCCGCCGGGGCCCCGCGCGCGCGGAGAAGGAGCCCCCGCCACUGCCGUGCUCGCCGCGUGCUCAUCCUGUCCCCGCCCAGGGAGCCGGAGCCUCCAACUAACUCCGCCCGCCGCUCCGCCGCCCGCAGGCUCCGGCUUCCGUCCCGGACAGAGCCCGUGGCCGCGCAGGUUGGUGUCGCUGCCGCAGCCGCCGCCGCCAGUGCGAGGCAGGCUGGGCAAGGGUGAGGGUGGGGGCGCAGAAGGGGGCCCGGUCCCGGGAUCCUGCUGCCUCCAAUUCCUGGCGCCCCAGGAGGUUGUGGCUUUUUCUCCAGGGCUGCCCGGGUCGGGGGUGGGGGGAUGGGGUGGGGAUCCUGCGAGGCGGCCAGGGAGGAUUUUGGGGACUGAGCCAGCCUCGAAUUUCCCAAAUCUCUCUGACCACCAUUAA
rnacentral:lncRNA from 1 species